rnacentral:lncRNA from 1 species
GCUUGCAACAUUACAAGCCCAAAAGACGACUAUGAUAUAAGUGUUCAAGUCGGAUCAAACUUUACUAUCAACAUUGCAUAUACAUGCGCACCACUUGAGGAAAUGGAAAGUAUGGAUUGGUAUUUUUCAAUUUAUCCUAAUGGAUAUAAAGAUAAAGUUGAACUUGCUGGGUUGCAUAAAUUGUACCAAAUGGUAUAUGAUCAUUCCAUGGAUUUCGUUGCUACUGGUUCGUUCGGGAAUAGUGGCAGGUUUACAUUUAGUGUAUAUAACGCUACGCUAACUUCCAAUGGCACAUUUUUUGCUCUGUUGUACAAAAAAUCAGACGUUGGACAACCUCCUACACAGAUUCUGAGAGUAGUUGUCAUUAUCAAAGAAACCGCUCUGCAACCGACCGAGAAAUUUAUUCCUCAAACAACGAGGGGUAUUAUAACGUCAAUUUCAAAACGUACUGAACCUACCACAAAAAUCAUAAGAAUAAAUCAAUCUACAACGAUAGUAAAUCAACCUACAACAAAAGUAAAUCAACCUACAACGAAAGUAAAUCAACCU